rnacentral:rRNA from 1 species
AUGCCCCUGUCCGACAGGAAGCUACGUAGGGUGGACCUACAGCCAAACAUUGACCGCCUAGCUGGGAAGUGCUCUGGAUGGAAGGUUGACUUGAUAAACCUGACAGGCAGAGUGGUGCUUGUGCGAUCGGCCCUCUCGGCCAUGCCAACCUUCCAGAUGAUUGCAAUACCACAAGUGAAGUGGCUAGACCAGAAAAUUGACAAAAUCCGCAGGCCCUUCCUUUGGGCCGGCAAGAAUUCUGUUUCAGGAGGAAAAUGCCUUGUCAGCUGGAAAUCUCUUUGCAGACCGACUGAAUUUGGGGGGCUAGGCAUCUCAAACCUCGAAUUCCAAGGGGCGGCUGAGGGCGCACUGGCUUUGGCAGCAAGCUAA